rnacentral:rRNA from 1 species
GGAUUAGAUACCCUGGUAGUCCACGCCGUAAACGGUGGGCACUAGGUGUGGGGGACAUUCCACGUUCUCCGUGCCGAAGCUAACGCAUUAAGUGCCCCGCCUGGGGAGUACGGCCGCAAGGCUAAAACUCAAAGGAAUUGACGGGGGCCCGCACAAGCGGCGGAGCAUGCGGAUUAAUUCGAUGCAACGCGAAGAACCUUACCUGGGUUUGACAUACACCGGAAAGCUGCAGAGAUGUAGCCCCCGCAAGGUCGGUGUACAGGUGGUGCAUGGCUGUCGUCAGCUCGUGUUG